GGUGGCUCAGUGGCAGAGUGCUUGCCUUGUAUGCAUGAGGCCUUGGGUUCGAUUCCUCAGUACCA
rnacentral:tRNA from 1 species